rnacentral:rRNA from 1 species
UCGCCUGUUUUACAAAAACAUCUUUUCUUGUUAGUUUUUGAAGUAUGGCCUGCCCACUGACAUUUGAGUUGAAGGGCCGCGGUAUUUUGACCGUGCAAAGGUAGCAUAAUCAUUAGUUCUUUAAUUGUGAUCUGGUAUGAAUGGCUUGACGAGAUAUAAACUGUCUUAAAGGUAUUUAUUGAAAUUGGGGUUUGAGUUAAAAUUCUUAAAUGUUUUUAUGGGACGAGAAGACCCUAUAGAGUUUGACAUUCAUUUUUCUAUAUUUUAGUUUGUUUUUGUUUAUUAGUUGAGUGAGUGUUUUGUUGGGGUGAUGGGAGGAAUUUUUUUAACUCCUCUUUAUUUUUAUAUAUUUAUAUAUAUUUGUUUGAUCCAUUUAUUUUGAUUAUAAGAUUAAAUUACCUUAGGGAUAACAGCGUUAUCUUCCCUGAGAGUUCUUAUUGGCGGGGAGGUUUGCGACCUCGAUGUUGGAUUAAGGUGAAUUUUCGGUGCAGAAGCUGAAAUUGAUUAGGUCUGUUCGACCUUUAAAAUCUUACGUGAUCUGAGU